rnacentral:rRNA from 1 species
AUACGGAGGGUCCAAGCGUUAUGCGGAAUCAUUGGGUUUAAAGGGUUCGCAGGCGGUCAAUUAAGUCAGAGGUGAAAGCCCAUCGCUCAACGAUGGAACUGCCUUUGAUACUGGUUGACUUGAGUUAUACGGAAGUAGAUAGAAUAAGUAGUGUAGCGGUGAAAUGCAUAGAUAUUACUUAGAAUACCGAUUGCGAAGGCAGUCUACCACGUAUAUACUGACGCUGAGGGACGAAAGCGUGGGGAGCGAACAGGAUUAGAUACCCUAGUAGUCC